UGGGGAAUAUUGGACAAUGGGCGCAAGCCUGAUCCAGCCAUGCCGCGUGGGUGAUGAAGGCCCUAGGGUUGUAAAGCCCUUUCGGCGGGGAAGAUAAUGACGGUACCGAGAUAAGAAGCCCCGGCUAACUUCGUGCCAGCAGCCGCGGUAAUACGAAGGGGGCUAGCGUUGUUCGGAAUUACUGGGCGUAAAGCGCGUGUAGGCGGGUCUUUAAGUCAGGGGUGAAAUGCCAAGGCUCAACCUUGGAACUGCCUUUGAUACUGGAGAUCUUGAGUCCGGGAGAGGUGAGUGGAAUUGCGAGUGUAGAGGUGAAAUUCGUAGAUAUUCGCAAGAACACCAGUGGCGAAGGCGGCUCACUGGCCCGGAACUGACGCUGAGACGCGAAAGCGUGGGGAGCAAACAGGAUUAGAUACCCUGGUAGUCCACGCUGUAAACGAUGGAUGCUAGCCGUUGGGGAGCUUGCUCUUCAGUGGCGCAGCUAACGCUUUAAGCAUCCCGCCUGGGGAGUACGGUCGCAAGAUUA
rnacentral:rRNA from 1 species